rnacentral:ncRNA from 1 species
AGCCAGCGGUUUGGGGCUGGAGCCCUUAGCGAGUUCUAUCGGGUAAAGCCAAUGAUUAGAGGCAUUGGGAGCGCAACGCCCUCGACCUAUUCUCAGACUUUAAAUAGGUAGGACGGUGCAGCUACUUCGUUAAGCCGCGCCACGGAAUCGAGAGCUCCAAGUGGGCCAUUUUUGGUAAGCAGAACUGGCGAUGCGGGA